rnacentral:tRNA from 1 species
GGCCGGUUGGCCCAAUGGCAAGGCGUCUGACUACGACUCCAGACGUACUUCUUCGCAAGAUCCGUCGGGGUUCCGAUAUCAGGAGAUUCUGGGUUCGACCCCCAGGCUGGUCA